rnacentral:sRNA from 2 species
UGUAUCGGAAGCCUGACGAGGAUGAGAACCUCCGGGGGCAAGAGGUUCGACUCGAGCGCAGCGAGAGAACGUUGCGUCAGCAACGGCCCGCAG